rnacentral:rRNA from 1 species
CCUGCUAAAUAGUCACUAUANNANACGCUGUAGUUGUACUUCUUAAAGGGACUGUGUGCGCGAACACAAGGAAGUUCAAAGCAAUAACAGGUCUGUGAUGCCCUUAGAUGUUCUGGGCUGCACGCGCGCUACACUGAUGCAUUCAGCGAGUAUUUCCUGACUUGAAGAGGUCGGGUAAUCUUGUGAACAUGUAUCGUGAUGGGGAUUGACAAUUGUAAUUAUUUGUCAUGAACGANGAAUUCCUANUANGNGCAAGUCAUUNNCUUGCGCUGAUUACGUCCCUGCCCUUUGUACNCACCGCCCGUCGCCUCAAUCGACUGGAUGAUUCGGUGAAUGACUCNNACUGNAA